CCUUCUCCUUCUUCUUUUAAUAAAUGCUUUGCUUAUUUCCAUCGAUCUGACCAUUCUUUUAGCUAAGUACAAAGAGGACAAAUGAGACCAACAAAACAGCUCACUGGGAUAAUAUUCUGUUUCCCCAUGUGUACAAGAUUUAACCAAGGGGACUGCACAUUCUUCUCAGACUGUAAGUGGCACAGAUUUCCUCACACAUAGUCCUAUUCUGAGACACUUCAAUGGAGACCCAUCCUGUGCUGGAGACUCUGCCACCUGGAAUCCUCUUCCCAUGUCUGGUCUGAUCUCCUGCCUGAGAUGGGCAGCCCUAGAGGCA